GACAGAGGAUGCAAGCGUUAUCCGGAAUGAUUGGGCGUAAAGCGUCUGUAGGUGGCUUUCAAGUCCGCCGUCAAAUCCCAGGGCUCAACCCUGGACAGGCGGUGGAAACUACCAAGCUGGAGUACGGUAGGGGCAGAGGGAAUUUCCGGUGGAGCGGUGAAAUGCAUUGAGAUCGGAAAGAACAACCAACGGCGAAAGCAGCUCGUAG
rnacentral:rRNA from 1 species